UCCCUGGUGGUCCAGCGGGGAAGACUCCGCAUUGUCAAUGCAGGGGGCCCGGGUUCAAUCCCUGGUCAGGGAA